UCCUGGAGAAGCUGCAGUGUGGGGAUGCUCGAGACCGGGUGCUGCCCCCAGUGUCUUUCCACCUCCUCCUUCUGCAGCGGCGGCGGCGGCGGCAGCAGUUAGCAGCGGCAACUUGAGACUGCACCCAGGGCAAGCCCCCAGGGUGCUGCUCAGCUGAGAAGGGGGCUCAGCGCCCCAAAGGGGCUGCCCCCUUUCCAAGAGCGGAGGCAGCGGGAGUACGCGUGUGCCUCGCACCGGUCCGCGCGGGGAGAGCCGUGGGGACCGAGACCCGGCACCACCUCCUGAUCCUCCCUCCAGGUAAGGCAG